UGAUAUCCAAGGAAGAAAAACCAUAUAGUUCUGGUAAUACGGUCCAGAAGUUUCUACAAGUUACCCAAUAAGUAACUUACUAUGGCAAGAGUCCUUUGUGUC
rnacentral:ncRNA from 1 species